GACUGACACUAUCUUAGUUGACACGCACCUUUGUCCUAACAAAACUUUUGUAUAACAAAAAAAAGCCUGUGGUGAAAAAACAGACCAUUCACCAUCUCUUCAGUCACAACGAGCCAUAGCUGUUCGUGAUAAGUCUUUAAUAUUUUUCUCAAAUGUGCUAGCUACAAAUUCCGUUUUGAUAUUUGGCAUUUUAAAAUAGUAGGUAUAAUGGUAAUCGAUUAAAGUUAUUAGGUGUAAUUAAAUUCUGUGACGUUUACAGUAAAUUACGACAUGGAGUCAUUCAUCUGAAGAUGUGCUCGAUAUAUUGUAUUGUGUGUGUGUGUGAUGUCUUUAAGUAAUUGAAACUUUUCUAGCGUCACUUUCUGACUUCAUAAACGUAGACUAUAAAACAAAUUCGGAAUGGAGUACAAAGCUUUUAGUACCACUCUUGUAUCAACAGCAGAGAAAGAUGUCAAUUCCUGAUUCCGAAAGAAUAGCAUGCACUUCUAGAUUCCGAAGGAAACUUUUUUUAUGAUACGUUAAACGUUCUGCUGUAAUGUAAAACUUGAAUCUUUCGAACCCAAGUGUUGAGCAGAUAACAAUGACUAUAUUAUACCACGGCUCACAAUUCAAUGCUCCAAGGCUUCAUUCCGAGACCAGUCUUCUGUGGCACAAUUCAAAAGCCUUAAUACCCCUAGGCUUCAUCCUGAGGCUAGUCUAAUGCGACACAAUGUAAAAGCCUCAAUACAACGAUGCUUCAUCUGAGACUAGUCUCCUGAGGCACAAUUCAAAAGCCUCAUUAGGCCGACGCUUCAUCCUGAGACCAGUCUCCUGCGGCACAAUUUCAAAGCCUCGAUACGCUGAGGCUUCAUCCUGAGACCAGCCGUCUGCAGCACAAUUUCAAAGCCUCAAUACGCCGAACCUCAUCCUGAGACUAGUCUCCUGUAGCACAAUUUCAAAGCCUCAGAACACCGAUGCUUCAUUAUGAGACUAGUCUCCUGCGGCACAAUUUCAAAGCCUCAUUACGGCUUCAUUCUCGGACUACUCCAUUGCGGCACAAUUCAAAAGGUUGGCAUUUUUAAAGGAUCUUACAAGUUCGGGCCAGAUACUUAGGCUGUCUCUUCAGUUAAGACCCUGUUACCUACCCAGAACUCCUGCUCUAAACUAUCGGAUCCUCUUCGAUCUGCAAUGCGUGCAUAAAAGACGAUUGCUUGAGAAUUCGUCACCAUCCUUGCGGCUUACUGCAAUGCCUUUGUCUCUGCCAACGUUUUUAAAUCGCCGCUGAAAAUUGCUUCAAUGACAGCUUCUACACAAUAAGAAGAAACCCAUUUCGACUCUAUUAUGCUCUCAACAUUUGUGCUUUAAAACUCAUUGAGGCCUCGCCUCCUGGUUACUCACUACUGGAGACAUUCAAGAGAAGCUGAGCAUUAAUAUACAGGUGCAAGUUGUACUGUGUUCGCAGCCCGAUGACUCCUAUGACACACUAAGGUACAGGCUCAAAUACUGGGCUUUUGAUCUAAGCCUUUCAUUUCAAUAUAAAUAAGUUUAGGACUUACUUUUAUGUGCUAUAUAUUACAUUCACACGAAAUUUAAAAAAAAGCUAAGAAAACUGCAAAAUAGAGGGUAUUAAUCACCUUAAUUACUUCUAAUACAUUUUGGAAAACAAAUCUGACGAGAACUUAACCAAAUUAAUGCAGUGCAAGCACGUCUUCUACAGGUCCUUUAUCCAAAAACUAACACUCUUGGACAUAUAGAUCUUAUUUACUACUAGUUUUAAAGAUGGCUAACUUCGUAACAAGUUAUCGAAAAUGAGAAGGAAAAUAGUCUUCUAAAGACCUGUCAGCCUAGAAAAUAGUAUGAAUCUAGCCAAAAAAAAAAUAUUGAAAAGAUCUAGCAACAUAUAGAUAUUAAUUAUCUAAACAUAAGCAUAAAUGACAUGGAUGGAAAUGAGUUAGAAUUUUCUUGAGAAAAAUGAGUUUGCAAAAUUUCCCUAAGUUAUCAGUAGAUCAGACAUUGCAUACAACUGCAACAUUAAGCACACUACUUAGACUUCAGCGAUUGUGUUUUCAAAGGCCAACAUUUAAAGGUACUACAGUUUUAUGCUCUAUUGAACUCAAAUCCCACAACGAUCCAGUUAGGCGAGUUACGCUUGACUAAACAGAUGACUGAAUUACAAUACAGGCAUGGAAAGUAUGAGAUGUUCAAGAAUUGGCGCACAACAAUAUCAGAAGACAGUCGAUGUGUUAUCGUUUGGGUGUCGAUUUCUAGAAGUGCUGCUUUUACUUACCAAAUACAGGUUUUAUUGGAUGUAGAUAUUCUUGGAAUCCUUUUUAACAACAUUGCCCAUAAGUGACUUUAACCCUUAAAGUGCUGAGCUUUUUUUUUUACAAUGUGUGAAUACAAAAUGGAAUUACAAUUCUAGUGAUUAGAUUAGAGGCUAAACGACCACACGUAUCUAAAGGGUUAACAUCACUUUGGGAGAUGUUAAGUUAAUUAAGUAAAUUACAAAAGAAUACUUAGAGCUGUGUGUUUCCUUAUAUAAUGAACUGAAAUAGUUUGUACGAUGUAUCCUAGAUACACUGUGUUCAACUGUGAGAUAUGAAUACAAUAAGAGGAAACGGUAGACAACCAGGUUUUUUUUUUUUUUGGAUAGUGUAAACUUAGUUGUCUCCUCUUACUUUUCAUUUCAAAGCUGCAUUCAUCUGUAGCAUGGUCAUUGUCAUGGGCUUCGAAAUGAUUUAUAACCAGUUUACGACGGAAACAAAAGCCAUUGUGCUAUCUUUCUAAUCAAUUUGUUUGAGAUAUAGAACCUAUGGAGAACAUUCUUAUAAAUACGAAUUUCACAUUAAGAAUUGUAAACAAUGAAAAAAUCAUAUUCAUUAAAAGUCAAAGAUUGAUCUAAACUGCUGAGGUAGUUGAUACAGAGAAGUUAAUCACUUUGUGUGGUUACAGUUAUUCCUGUGAUUAAAUAAGAUGGCCACUAUGUGUAGUUACAUGUGUUUAUUCACGUUUGAAGGAAUAGCUGAUAUUUUAAAAAAGAUGACCACUAUGUAAAAUGCAUAUGAUGGAAAAGUUGACCAUUUAUAGCGACAUAAAUUGCUACAGAGAUAGCCGUACAAUGCUUAGUCGGCAAAUAUUUUACUUUGAUAAUGAAACCUCUAGUGACAAAAAGACUUUUCGAACGGAAGGACACUGUAUAGGAAUAUGUAAAAACUUACAUAAACUGAGAUUCUCUUCAUCUGUUCAUGCAGCAAGUUCUCACCUAGAGUUCGAUCAAAGGCGUCUAACUACUAUUGAUUGUAGGCCUUCUAAGAAGCUGCAACGACGUGUUAGAUUUAAACCUGCAAGAUUACACUUUCCAUUUUUUUCGGCUGACUCUGGUAAACCAGUUUGGUCUUGUUUAUGAAAAUGUUCGGCGAAUCUUUUUAAAGGGAGGGAAGAAUGAACUGUUGGUGACAUGAUCUCGGUGUGUUAUUCCAAGAAUGCUUCUAAAUCACCAUGCUAAUUUUUUUCAAACUUUAUGGAUAACUUCCAAGUCUCGGAGGCGUAAUGGAAUAUGCUCUGCAGUCAGCGUCCAAGACUCACAAGCAUAUACAAAUGUGGCCCUAACAAGGGAGCGAAUCAGUCCUAUGCAAUUGAAUUUAGAUACUACAGAAGGAUCCCAGGUAUCACAUUUAAAGACUUCAUCACAAACCAACAGAUUAGAGACAGGUUUACUACAGCUAUUGGACCCCACGAUGACCUUCUAACUAUAGUAAAAAAAAAACGCAAGCCAAAAAAUCUAUGACCAUAUUACAAGGUCUUCGUAGCUCGCAAAGACCUUCCUUCAGGGAACAGUACCAGGGAAAAGAAGAAGAGGCAGACAGAGAAAGCGAUGGGAGGACAACAUAAAAGAAUGGACGGGCCAGCCAUUGAAAGAGGUUGUAACUAAGACAAAAAACAGAGAGGAAUGGAGAAAGACGGUUGACAAAUCUUGCAUGGUGCCUCCACGGUCCAACAGACUAAGGAAUAGAGGAUACCUGGCAUCAGUAUGUUGCAAAAAUCAAUUCACUGAAAUGAAGUCAUCGAAGAAAAGCACAGACCUUGUAACGGGAACAUGAACUAAUCCUCAGCGUCAGACAACUUCAUUUGAUUUGUGCUAACAAAAUGCAAGUCAGGAAGGGUCACAGUGAACAAGGAAUAAGGAAAAGAAAGUAAAGCUGACAGUAUCCAGACUGACACAAAUCUUCAUAUAACAAAUUUAUUCAGAACAGGAAAGAGCUGGUUUAGAAGGAUAAUGAAUUUUGAUGGAAUUAUGAAAAGUUACUUUUAUGACUUUUCCAUAUUUCAAAAAAAAAAUUAGCCUGAAUAGAAACAUUUAUUACUAUACCUGAGGUUGGGUAUUAUUUAAGCAUAAUUUACAAGUGAUAAAACUCGAAUUUGAAAAAUCCAUAAUGCUAUAAUUCACAUUAUAUUUGGUUCAUUUUCUUCUGAAAUUAAUAUAUGUAAAUAAAAUAUUUUUUUU